AGGAUGUGCUGGUGGGACACUGCCCAGGUGAUGUGAGACCUUGUAGCUUCCUGGUGAAGGGAUAUGGGAACCCUGCCAGUUUAGUGGAUUUAUGACUGUGGGUCAGCUUCUAAACCUCAGUUUCCUCAUCUACAAAAUGGUGAUAAAUGACAUUCUCAAAACCAUUGUGGGGACUUAAUAAUGAGAUAAUGAUAUUAAACUCUCAGCCCUGCACCUGGCACAUACAGUGUUCAAACAUGGCCAUUGUGAGUGGCUUUACACUGGGAACCAGGAAGGACAAUACAUCCAUUGUGACCCUGUCUUGGAUGCUGGAACUGCUAUGUCUUCUCUCUGUUCCCUUGGCUCUGCAUGCCUCUGUCCUCCAGGAGACGAGCAUAAAAAUGGGGGAGCACACAGCACCUCUAUUAGCAGCCUCAGUGGCAUUGCUGGAGAGUCAACCACUGUCUCCUAGGUACAUUCUGUCCUCAGUUGCAUAUUUUCAACCAUUACCCCUGUUUCUGCUCAUACCAUAUUUCCUUACAGCAAAUUCUUAGUCCUCAUCUCACUUGGACUCCUGCAUGGUGAUGGCAUGAGCACUAGAGCUGCAGGAUUUAAGAAACGGAGGGAAAAUGAUGGAUUCACAUUCACUUGGACAUAACAGGCAUCUACUUUCAUCAAAGCAGAAGGGGCCACCGAUAUGGUCCUGGAGGGCUGCCCCUCCUCACUGCAGCCUGCCUGCUCCCCUUCUGCCUCUGUGUCCAGCUGGAGCCCAAUGCCUGCUGUUCACUUCUCUAACUUCUGCCUCCUCAGCUGUUCUAGGGCAUGGCAAAUUGUCAGUCCUCAAAAGAUACUUGCUGCACAAUGGAUAGCUCGUUUUUGGAUGGAUUGCGUUCAUCGAGCCAGCUGCCAGCAUAGAGUUGUGUUGAAAAUGGGAUCUAAUUAAACCUAAGAGCUUCUGUACAGCAAAAGAAACUAUCAACAGAGUACACAGACAACCUACAGAAUAGAAGAAAAUAUUCACAAACUAUGCAUCUGACAAAGGCCUAAUGUUCACAAUCUAUAAGGAACGUAAACAAAUCAACAAGGAAAAAACAAAUAACCCCAUAAAAAAGUGGGCAAAGGACAUGAACAAACACUUCUCAAAAGAAGAUGUAUAAGUGGUCAACAAAGAUAUGAAAAAAUGCUCAUCAUAGCUAAUCAUCGGAGAAAUGCAAAUCAAAAUGGCAAUGAGAUGCUAGCUCACACCAGUCAGUAUGGCUUUCAUUGAAAAGUCAAGAAAUAACAUAUGCUGGCAGGGCUGUGGAGAAAAGGGAACGCCUAUAUACUGUUAGUGGAAAUGUAAAUUAGUUCAGCCACUGUGGAAAACAAUUUGGAGAUUUCUCAAAGAACUAAAAAUAGAACUACAGUUCGACCCAGCAGUCCUAUUACUGGGUAUGUACCGAGAGGAAAAUAAAUCGUUGUACCAAAAAGACACCGGCACUCACGUGUUCAUCACAGCACUAUUCACUAUAACAAAGACAUGGCAUCCAUCCGGAUGCCCACCAACAGUGGACUGAAUAAAUAAAAUGUGGCACAUAUACAUCAUGGAAUACCAUGCAGCCAUUAAAAAGAAUGAAAUUAUGUCCUUUGCUGGAACAUGCAUGCAGCUGGAGGCCAUUAUCCUAAGCGAACUAACUUAGGAACGGAAACCAAAUAUCACAUAUUCUUACUUAUAAGUGGGAACUAAAACAUUGGGUACUUGUGGACAUAAAGGUGGCAAAAAUAGACACUGGGAUGACUAGGGGGAGGAGGGAGGAAGGGAGGGGGGCAAGGGUUGAAAAACCAGCUGUCAGAUACUAAGCUCAGUACCUGGUGAUGGAAUCAUUCACAGCCCAAGCCUCAGCAUCAUGUAAUAUGCCCAUGUAACAAAUCUGCACAGGUAUCCC